UUAAUUUGAAGCAACGCGAAGAACCUUACCAGGUCUUGACAUCCCGUUGACCACUGUAGAGAUAUGGUUUCCCCUUCGGGGGCAACGGUGACAGGUGGUGCAUGGUUGUCGUCAGCUCGUGUCGUGAGAUGUUGGGUUAAGUCCCGCAACGAGCGCAACCCUUGAUCUUAGUUGCCAUCAUUUAGUUGGGCACUCUAAGGUGACUGCCGGUGACAAACCGGAGGAAGGUGGGGAUGACGUCAAAUCAUCAUGCCCCUUAUGACCUGGGCUACACACGUGCUACAAUGGACGAUACAAACGGUUGCCAACUCGCGAGAGGGAGCUAAUCCGAUAAAGUCGUUCUCAGUUCGGAUUGUAGGCUGCAACUCGCCUACAUGAAGCCGGAAUCGCUAGUAAUCGCGGAUCAGCAUGCCGCGGUGAAUACGUUCCCGGGCCUUGUACACACCGCCCGUCAC
rnacentral:rRNA from 1 species